AGUAGAGCCCCAUCACUGGCCACAAUCAAGUUUGUGGUUGGCUAGGUGCUGGCUAGUCUCUUCCAGGCUGCCUGUCCCACACGAGGGCUGGAUGAGGUCACCUUCCAAGGUAUUAAAGAAGCUUUGUACAGAGAAUGUCGGACUCCAAAACUGAAGGCAGGAUCCCGGACCUUGGUCACUGACAACUGGAAGGUGAAAUUGGGAUGAGAAGAGGUGAAUAUGGUGCCUCAUUCUCCAGAGUUGUCCUCAAGUGAAGGCUGUACAGUAUAACAAAUUGGUGGGCUGACUUACCUUUCCCAGGCUGUAUUCUGCUGGACCUGGACCUGCUCCCUUCCCAGCAAAUUUGGUUUUUAGUCCCAUUGAGUACUUGGGAGCCCUGGUUUUGUAGACGUCCAGAUCCACCCUAUCAAAUGCUGCAGGACCUGGUGUCUGCAAGAGAAGCAAUGAGGUUGGUGGGUACAAGAGGCAGUGUGAAUUCUUCGUGGGUGUCCAUGAGCAGUGCGCUGCUUGAGGUGGCUGGCCAGAGGAGCAGUGGGGGAGGUCUGGAGCCUUGGGAAUGAGGGCUCCUUGGGAAGAGAGGUAGAUUUCCCAGAGGACGAGGGAGAUUAUUGCCAUUAGUGCCAGUGAGCUGUACCGUGCCAAAGCUGCUGGUGUGGAAAAAUGAGAGGCUGCAGGUGUCGGUGUUACUGGUAAUGGCAGAGCCAGAGGCCCUGUAGCUUCUUGUGCUUUGCUGCAGGUGCAGGGUAAUGUGUCUUAUGUGGGGAUAAAACAGGCAUUGGGGCUCUUCUGUCCUGAGCAGUGCAGCUGAGCUUCUGCUGCUGCUGUGAGAGAACAGACAAGCACAGCUCACCUUUGCCACGUCUUGAAAACAGCUCUGGUAAUUACUCUUCCCCUUCAUGGAGUAGCACGGUUCGGCAUGAGUGUACGCUGUGUGGGGUCCCAGAAUCCUUGGAAGGGUGUAGGUGCCAGGACCUGGAAAUGGAAUAGGUAGAUGGGAUAGGUCAGUCCUGUGGGAAAGGGUGCAAUGCCUGGGUGGAAGAGAGUCAGCCUUCCAAGCUGGUUGUGAGGAGCAAGGGUGUCCUGCCCCUCAUCCCAAUGCCUCUGGCUUUUGUUGCAUGGAGUGUGCCUUGGCUGUUUGAAGCCAGAGCUGCCAGUUCUUCUGUGAGAUGGGAGAAGUUGAUGCUGUGGAACAGGAAAAAGCUUGUUGAGCACACACUGUGUCUUGCUGCCUAGGCUUUUUGCUAGGCCUGUUGAAGAAGCUGCAGAUGCUCCCUGGAGGACACACAGGCUGUAAGAGUGUCUGUUUCCCCAAGUUCCAUACCUGGUGUUCGGAAACCUUUUAGGUCCUUGGGCCGAGACGCCAGGCUAUUCGCUGGUGCGCUAUGGUAGACGUGUUUGUUGGCAGGAUCCGUGGUGUAGUCACCUGGGACAGAGAAGGAGACAUGAAAAGAAGUGAAGCUGGGAACCUAACUGCAAGCCAAAGAGGAGAAGGCAGGAGGAGGUGCUCAGUCUUGCUUCCUGUCUGGAGCUCUCUGAAGCCCAUUCAGGGCAUGGGCAGAGGGGGCUUUGUGCCCCAGUGGCAAAGGGCAACAGUAAGGCAUGCUUGUCUGGCCUGAAAGAAGGGAUGCAGAAAUGCUACGCACUGGGUCCAGGCGUGACCAAAAUCUUGGUCUUUGGACGUGCUGUCACAAGUGCCGAUGGAGCCAUCUGCUUCCCAGUCUUGGUAAUGGAUGAUUCGAUGAAGUAUCGAGGACCUGGUGAGCAGGUUGCUUCGGAGGGAGCUUUGGUCCCUCGAAAUGAGUAUGCAGGGGCUCUGUCUUUGGUGGGAUCAUGAGCCAUAUAACCUGGGAAGAAAAGCUUGUGAAAGGACCUGUGCCUGCAAUUGUCUAGUAAAAGGAGGUUUCUAAGCAGAAGCAAACACUGUGCUGCGCUGCCCACUGCCACUACCUCCCCGUGAUAGUUGGUUUACCUGUUGACCCAGGAAGCCCGUACUUGGGACCUGGGGUGCUGAAUUCUGCAAGUAUUGGGCCCCGUCGGGGAUGAGGUCUCCAGGUGCCUACCCAGGGUCCCUCCAUGCUGGUGGCCAAAGAAACUACAGGAAAAACAGGAGAGCUACCAAAGGGCUUCUCUGACACAGCGCUGGUACAGAGCUUUCCUGUAGCCCAGAGCAGGAAGAAAGCAAAACUAGCAUCACGAGAGAAAGUGAAGGAAAGUGAAGAGCAACAAGAAGUAGUAGAUGGAGGAGAAGGCGGAAUGGAGGGAAAACAGCAAGUUAGAAGCAAAGAUGCAGCAAAAACUCCUGGUGUGCCCUCAGGCAGUAAUUGUUGGCGUAGAAGCGCAGCUCUGGCUUGGCUUGGAGGUAUCCUCCUGCGCAUCUACAAAUGAAUUUACUCAGCUGGAGUGUGGUGCUGACAGGGUGAGGUGCAGGGAGGGACACCAGCCCCUCGCUGACAUCAUAAUCCAUUGCUAGGUGGAUCCCUCAUCAUUGACAUCCAUCACCAGGUGACAUCCCAAAGGGCCAUUCUCACCCAGUGACGAGCAAACCCCGCUGUGAUUUUGAGACCCUUAAGCUGUUCAUGCUGCAGCACUGCCGUGUGGCCUGCAGGGCUCCUCUGGGGCUGGGCAUGGGGCUGCCAUGGAACUGGCUCAGUUCAGUGUAGGGCAGUCCCAGUUUGUCCUCACACAGACCUGCUUUUGUUCCCAUGUGCCCAGAGACCCAGCACAGCCCUUUCUAGUCCAGUGGUGCUGAGCACAGGGCUUUUUUCACCAGAGUGAAAUAAACUUAUCCAAAACCAA